AUCUAUGGUCAUAUUACCCCGAACUUGCCUCGUCUUGAAAACUAAGCAGAGUCAGGCCUGGUUAGUACCUCAAUGAGAGACUGCCUGGGAAUAUUGAGUGUUGCAGACU
rnacentral:rRNA from 1 species